rnacentral:lncRNA from 1 species
AAACAUGAAUGAUAAAACAUUUACAUCACUUUUGUACCAAUAGGCAGUUGUUGUAUAGUAUACCCAAAAAAGCAACCUCAUUUGCCUAUUGUUCGUGUGAUAUCUGCAAGCGUACGGGAUCGUUGACAAGCAAUAAUAAGUGAGUUAAGAGUUAUAUUCCCACAGAGAAUAAAUUUAAUUCAAGUUUGCUAGUUUCGUAUGGAAUUCUAGUCAUGAAAACAAAAUAAAUAUUUUGAUUUGAUUUAAACUAAACUAAUCUAAGAAAGUAAUAAAAAUUGGGGUUUUAUCAAAUUAUGGAGGAUUGUAUUGGAUUUUGACUCCGCCUAUUGCUAUUUAUUUCACUUCUUGAUUCGUAAUCUAAUUUCUUUCAUGAGUUCUUGACAAUUGAUAACACUAAUAUGUAAAAUGUUCUUUUCCAAGAUACACCAACCUAUGAUUAACACGAUCUGAUCCUAUUCCUAGUCCGAAUUCAUAUGAAAAUCAUGCAUUUAGUUUAAGUUAUCAAUAUGAUUGCAUGUAUGAUAGAUAUUAUUCCUAAUCCUAACUAUACACGUUAAUUUUGCCGCGUUCUAGACUCGUUGUGAGUACUCAUACACUACAACAAGCAACUAACUAUUCAAUUGAUAGCCAAACAAUUCAAUAGUGCAAUGAAAAUGCAAAAUUAAUCAAGUAACACACGAAUUAAACUAAAUACUUGUCUUGAAUUAAAAUAAAUAAAUAAUAGGGUUCAUCUCAUCCAAUACAAUGAAAAACUAGCAUAGCAUAUUAAUAUAUAAAUUACAAGAAGAAUAAUAGAAAAAUAUCACUCGAAUCAUGAAAGAAUACAAAAGAUGUUGAUCUUCACGUCCAAAGUUGAAUUCUUCAAAACUUGAUGUAAUUGAACUUCAAUUCCUUGCUAUGGCUUGAUCUUCUCUCUCAAAAUAUAGCAAUUGACCAAUUGUUCUUGAUGGAUUUGAUGAAAUUAUUGUGUAUGAAGAGGCUAGAAAGAGACCAUUUCAUUGCUGCCCAUAUCUUGUAUUUAUAUGAUGAAAUUAGGUUAAAAUUCACAUCCAAAUUGUCUUCCAAAAGAGUUUGUAUCAAAUAAGGAAAGUUGCCUUCGCUCGCACAUAAUUUUGUCUCUGCAUGACUUUCAGUAUUUUGAUCAUAACUUUCUCUUUCGGUGUCCAAUUCAGGUGAUUCAAAGUGCAUUGGAAAUCUAAUUAAAAGAUCUACAAUUCUUCUAGAAUUACAAUUUUUUCAAUUCAAACGUUCUCCAUCUAAAAAAUGGGUCUCAAGAUGACCAAAAAUCUUGAAAAAUAUCCUAUAUGAUUGGAAGUCGAUUUAUGGUAAUAUUCUAAUCAUAUCCCUUUCCUUUUUUGACUCCAAUUUGCAUUCAAUUGAUUCCUAUCAAUCUUCAAAGUAUCUUUUGUUGUCCAAAUCAACCAUUAAAUAUUUACACUUUGGUCCCCAUAUUUUGGAUUUGCUUUAUUUAGCCACUUUCCGUUCCUUUUUUCAAUUCUUCUUUAAAACAUGAACUUUUCCUAAUAAAAGCAAUAAUUAACAAAUCAGGUACUAAUCCGUUCAAAGAAUAACAAAAUAUCAUCAUUUAAGAUUCCAAAUAAGUGUAGAAACUACACUUAUCAAACCCCCAAACUUGAAUCUUUGCUUGUUCUCAAAUAAAAAUAUAACCUAAAUAAUAACAAACAUACAAGUAUGCAAAAAUAUUUGGUUAGACAAUCUAGCUUUUAACCACAGAAUCCGAGAUCACCGUAUUAAAUCUAUAAACGCUUCAAAGUCACAAUACCAAACCAAUAUUCACUCUUCCAAUGCAAAAUCGACGUGUGUGUGUGUGAAAAAUUGAAUAGACAUUAAUGAUUUCACAAGUUUUUUCAAUUCCCGACCCUCUAUGGUCAAAUAUAUUAUUUCGUCUUUCGUAAGAUUCACAUACCCCUAAAUUUAUUCUUUUUCACUAUUUUCCCUGCGUGUGAUCUAAGGUUGAAUUUUCCAUUACUAUCCUUACCCUCUCUAGUUCAGGUGGAUAUCACUGGUUGCAAGUCAAUAUAUUAAUGAACAAGGAUUCUCAAUUAAUUUGAUUGUUUCGACCGCCAAGACUCAAUUAGGCUAAUUAUCUUUAAUCGAAUGUUAAAUUUUCUCGAAUAAGUGUUAGGACUUAACAAGGUAUUUAGUGCUUCUACUUUUUUUUAAGCACUUGCUUUUUCUGAUUUUUAAGAGUUUUUUUUCUCUCCAUUAAGUUUUCUAGAUGACCCCUGUAGUAGGCUUUAGGCCGAUGACUCCCAAGUUAGAUGACUUUAGGGCACCAGAUUUUAAGAUAUCCUUACAGGCUUAAUAACCCGAGUAAAAAAGGAUUCAAAGAGAACAAUUUUAUUUUUUUCAAGUGCAACUUCAUCUCUGAUUUCUUUCUAAAUGACCCCUGUAAUGAGUUUUAGGUCGAUGACUCCUAAGUCAGACGACUUUAGGGCAUCAGGUUUUAAGAUACCCUUGCAGGCUUAAUUACUCGAGUCAUAAAGGUUUUAGAGAGAAGUUUUAAAUUUUAAAAUAUAUGCCUUGAUUAGUGCAAUGCCCCUUAUCACACACUUAUUCAAUCAAAUCGACCUCCAACUCAAAACUUUCACCCAAUUUUAUCCUGUUAGUCUAAGACAAUCUACACAUAAGUUUUCACACAUGGAAUCCCUGUCCACAUCCGUAUCUUUCUGCAACAGCAAAAUCACCCCCAAACUGUGCUAAAUUUGGUCUAAAGAUAAAUAAUUUGUAUAGUAUGGGUAAAGCGUCUAUGUCUGAUUAAAUCAACCUAUCAAGCAUAUGAAUCAACUCAUUUCAUCACAAUGUCAAACUCAAUUCUAGUACAUAUAUAAUAUCAAGUCUUUGCAACGUUAGGCUUCAAUUAGUUUAGUAUGUAUCUUAUCCACAGUUCAUAAAUCAAUACCAAACCUCAAAUUUAAUCAUUAUAGCCAGUCAAACUGUCUAACUCACACAAACACACAAACAAACAAAAAUAAAUAAAUAGAUAAUUUUUUUAACGCACAAAAAUAGAAAUUUUAACGAAUUUAUUAUUUAUUUUUAUUUUUUUUAAAGAAACACACAAAAACAUACAAAAAUCAAAAACUUAAAAAGUUUUUCCCACCCCCAAACUUAAACUUGACAUUGUCCUCAAUGUUUUAAAACAUAAUUGAGAAUGUAAGGGGACGGGAAAUGAAAGGAAGAAGGUACUUCCCGAAUUUUCAGGUUGAACGUAGAACGCACUUUGGACAACUGUUAGACAUUCUCCUUCAUCAUGUUUUCCCCUUGGUCUAUGUUGGUUUGAGUGUUUUGCGACAUCAUGUUCCUGCAUAUGGCAGUUAAAUAAAAAAUUAGAGAUCAAAUAAUCUAGAACAUGUGUUACUUAGCCCAAACAUCUAAUAAACCACUAAAUCUCAAAAACCUAAGAGAAAACGUGGUAUGGAUGAUGAGUCCCUAAAAUAAAAAUUAAUCUAAAUUAUCUUAAGCUAUUCUAAUUAUAAUAAAAUAAAAUAAAAUAAAAUGGAUAGAAAUAUUGGGUUGCCUUCCAACAAGCGCUUAAUUUAUGGUUUGUAGCUAAACUUUGUUGCUUUUAGGCUCUUCAUGGUGGCUUGAAAAGAGAAUUUUCAGCCCUGCAUUUUAAGCACUGGUUGCACUUCUUUCUUUCAUCUUUUAUCCGCCAUAUGAUCAAGUUUCUAUUGUUAUCCCUACCAACAAUUUCACCUGCAUCUGGCAGGCCUUUGUAACUCUCCCAGUGAUCAACUCGUUGGCAAACCUCAAAAUAUGAUGGUUGCUUGAUUGGAUUCUCCAUGGUGAAGCUUUGUUGCUUAUCCUCCACCCUCAUGACUAUCUCGUUUGUAUCAAAAUCAAGUAAUGCCCGACUUGUUGACAGGAAUGGCCUUCCUAGUAUUAUUGGAAUUUGGGAUGUCCCUUCUAUGUCCAGAAUGAUAAAGUCAACUGGAAAAAUAAAUUUUCCCGUCUUGAUGAGCAUGUCCUCAACUAUUCCAUAAGGAUGUUUCAAUGUUCGGUCCGCCAGCUGAAGGAUGAUAGAAGCCGUCUUGGGAUCUUCCAAUCCCAAUUUCCUGUAAAGAGGUAAAGGAAUUAAGUUAAUACUUGCUCUUGAAUCAAUUAAACAAUUAGUACCUUGUAAGUUUCCUAUGGAGCAAGGUAGAGUGAAACCCCCUGGAUCUUUAAGUUUGGGAGGGAUCUUGUGCUGGAUGAUUGCGCUGCACUCUUCAGAUAGUGUUAUUGUUUCAUGCUCGGGCAUCUUCCUUUUUUAGUUAGCAUUUCCUUCGAACACUUAGAAUAGUUUGGGAUUUGAAGGAUAUCGUCAAUGAAUGGGAUGUUGACAUGCAACUUUUUGAGGAUUUUUAGGAAUUUCAUAGCUUGCUUCUCCAAUUUGGUCUUUUGUAAUGUUUGAGGAAAAGGAACCAGAGGUGUCAGUGAAGUGCCAGGAACAUUUGCCUUAAGCUGUGGAUUGUCUGAAACUAUCUGUUGGUCCUUUUUCUAUUGCUUCUUCAGAUUGCUCCAUCGAUUCCUUAUCCUUAGUAGGCAUUUGAGUUCUCUCUAUCUCUUUCCUCUUUACAGUGAUUUCUGGCAAUUGAACACCACUACUAGUAGUGAUGGCCUAAACUUGCUCUGCUGUUGGCUGGCAUUGAAAUUUUUGAGGAAAUGGAAUGGGUGGCACAUAAGCUUUGACAGGGGUGGUGGAUGUGGUAGAUGGGAGCUCAAUAGUUACAUAAUUUAUCACCUCAGCUACUAAUACCUGCUCCCGUGGGUUCUUCUCUGUGUCAUUCGGCAAGGUAGCCUGUGGUCUGUUGGCUAAUGCAGCUGCUAUCUGUUCCACCUAAUUUUCUAGGUUAUGUAUGGAAGCCUGUUGAUUCUGCAUUACGGUUUCAGUCUUGGUGAUGUACGUGACCAGUAGAUCUUCCAAGGAUUGCCUCUUACCUUGCUGUUGCUAAAUUACUGGUGGAUUGCUCUUCAUAUGAUUUACUUGAUAUGGAUUAUCUACCAACGAAUAGUUGGGAUGCUUGUUCAAACCCGGAUGGUAGUUGUAUGGGUAAGAUCUAUUUUGCCUCUGAUAGUUCUGCGCAUAACUGAGCUCUGCUGACUGACACAUGUGAGUAGAAGCCAAAAGACAGCUUGAAGUGAUGUGAUCUGCCCCACAACCUGUGCAUACCGGAGCUGGAUGUUGUACCAUGUGCACAAAUUGAGUUAAAGUAUCAAGCUACUUUGUUAUUGCUUCCAUCUGCGCUGCCAAUGCUGUCACUGCGUCCACAUUAUGCAAUCCAGCUGUUUUUCUUGGAGCUUCCCUAUCUGUUAGCUAGUUGGCCUGAUUCUUAGCAAUCCUCUCAAAUAAAUUAUGUGCAUAUUGUUCACAAAAUAUUUCUUUCAAUUUUAAAACCCACCGCAAGUGUACGGUUCGUUAACAAAUAGUAAAAUGGACUAUGAGUCCAAGUAUCGUUCCCACGAGGAUUGAAUUAGCUCUAAUUAGACUAAUGUGACCUUAACCGAAUCUAAUUGAAUGAAAAUUUGGUUUAAAUGUGAAAACCCCUAAUUGUGGGAGAAAUCCCCAAUUUGAAACCCUAAUUUUUAAAGAAAACCCUAAUUUCGAAAUUGGAAGCCCUAAUUUCGAAAUUUCACUAAUUGAAUGACUCAAAAACUCAAUUAAAAUGUAAAUACGCAAUUUUGGAAGUUAAUGUAUAGAAAUAAAUUGAAAUGCAAUCAUUAGGAUCUCGAAUCCCCAAUUGACUAUUAAAAACCCUAAUUUCACAAAUUCAACGAAUCGAUGGAAAAAUGUCAAUUCAAUGUUCCUAAACCUAUCCAAUAUACUCUCUCGAUAUAAAUUGAAUCUACUCUUGCACACCACCAGCUUAUAUUUCUAUGGAUGAUGCAAAUAUACAAGAAUGCAUGAAUUUUUAUGAACACCUUAUGAAUUGCACAAAGCAUAGGGGUAUAUUUCUGUCCCCUAUCGAACCCUAUGUUAAUUUAUAUUAUAUCGAAUCUAUUCCCCUUCUUUCGAAUGCAAAGAAUAAAUCAUCUAAACUCACAUGACAUAUGGCCAAUAAUUAUGGAAGCAAUCAAAUCAUAUAAAUCAAACAAUGGUCCAACCGAAACUUUAUAUUGAAUUUAUGAAAUAAAGAAGAUUAAAUAAUCAAAGGUUCAUCAAUUUCCUAAUGAAUAAAAACCCUAGCCUAUGAUCAUAAUUACAGAAUCAAGAAUUAAAACGAAAUUAAAAGAUAUAAAGAAUACACCCGUAUGCUAAUCCUUCAAUUUUGUGUGUAAUCUUCAAUUCUUUCUUGAAUCCUUGUGAAAUCAAGCCCAAGAUUGUGUUUCUUGCCUUCAAAUUGAGUGUAUUUCUUCUCUCUGGUCGUUCCUCUCUUCAAUUUGAUGAUUUUGGGUAUUUAUAUCGCGUCAAAAUCAAGUAGGAAAAGAGUUUCAACUAAAACAAAAAAACUGCAACGGAGGCCCCCGAAUUAUCACUAUGCGACCGCAUAGAAGGUUUCUAUGCGGUCGCAUAGACCAAUAAAUUUUUCCCCAAAAUUUCCUGCAACCAUCUAUGCGACCGCAUAGAUGGUUACACUAUGCGGUCGCAUAGACUAACCAACUAUGAAGUCUUUGCAUUUUGGUCCCUGAACUUUCCUUGUUGCUUCUCUUGACUUCUUUCUUCGAUUUCUUCAUCUUUUCAACAAAUAUUAUCCUCAAAUUGAUGAUUGACACCAUCGAAUCUCUUGCCACUCAUUCGGCUCAUCUUUUGAGUAUUUACGCUUUAGUCCUCCAACUUUUAACUGUCUUCAUUUCAGUCCCUCUUCGAUUCUUUCUUCCUCCACUUGUUUUACUUUGUCCUUGAGCUCAAACUCGACAUGUUUUUACCCUCGUUUUGCAUUUAGCUCAACUUCUCAAUAUUUGCACCUUUGGUCCUCGAACUAUCACUUUGUUGAGUUUUGGUCCUUCUUCGGCUCUUUUCUCCUCAAUUCCACAAUUUUCAUUGAAAUACCUACAUUGCAUGAAUUUAAUAAGAUUAAGCCACAAUUUAACCAUUUUAUCCAUGUUUAAGUCAUGUUUGUGAACCAAAUAAGUGUGUAAAAACAUACUUAUCACAUAUCCACCUCGAUAGUCAAAAUUGAUCCACCAGCAGAAGCAUCAACUAUAUUGCGAAAUUCAACGUGCAGUCCAUUAUAGAAUAGAUAUAUCUGUGCCAGUUUAGGAACAUCAAGAUUUGGACAUUUCCUAAAUGCACUUUUGAACCUCUCCCAUGCUUCUCGAUAUGUCUCAUGAUCCUUCUGUCUGAAAAGAUAUACUUAAUUUCUGCUUUGGUGGACUCGAGAUGGUGGGAAGAAUUUCAUGGUAAAUUUUUGUACCAUGUCAUUCCACGAUACAAUGCUCCCAGGGGGUUGUGACAUCAUCCAUAUUUUCGCACCCUCCUUCAAAGUGUGAGGGAAUAAAUGCAUUCGGAAUGCAUCUUGUGACAUCUCCUCAUGGCUAAUGACAUCACAAAGCAUGGUAAAAGCUUGAAUAUGUUCGUGUGGAUUUUCUGUAGCUUUCCCGUUGAACCUCAUGUCUUGAUGAUUUUGGAAAAUAUUUAUGACAUCUGGUCAGAUGUGAAAGUUUUCUUGUCCGAACAGUGGAUAGAAAAUAGGAGGUUGAAUCAGUGCAGGUACUGGAUUCACAUAAUCUCUAACCAAUAGAGGCUGAGUUGGAGGUGGUUGUUGAACCUGAAGUGCUGCAUUCUACAGCAUUCUACAGUGCAUUUUGAAUCUGAUCUUGAUUCUCAGUCAUUACCUUCAUUCUUCUUAGUUCUCUUAGCGUUGUUUAAAGGUCCUUUCGAUUUUGAGAUCUAGUAAAAGCCUUAAGAGUAAAAUAAGAAGAAAUUAGGUAUCACGAUUAAAGCCUAAAAUAACAAAAAUAAUAAAUAAAUAAAAAUAAAAAUAAUAAAAAAUUCAAAUCCAAUGUAAACUAAUAAACUCAAACUAAAACUUUAUUCCCCGGCAACGGCGCCAAAAACUUGUUCAUGUGAUACCCGUAAGCUUAUGGGAUCGUUGACAAGUAAUAAUAAGUGAGUUAAGAGUUAUCGUCACACAGAGAAUAAAUUUAAUUCAAGUUUGCUAGUUUCGUAUGAAAUUCUAGUCAUGAAAACAAAAUAAAUAUUUUGAUUUGAUUUAAACUAAACUAAUCUAAGAAAGCAAUAAAAAUUGGGGUUUUAUCAAAUUAUGGAGGAUUGUAUUGGAUUUUGACUCCGCCUAUUGCUAUUUAUUUCAAUUCUUGAUUCGUAAUCUAAUUUCUUUCACGAGUUCUUAACAAUCGAUAACACUAAUAUGUUAAAUGUUCUUUUCCAAGAUACACCAACCUAUGAUUAACACGAACCGAUCCUGUUCCUAGUCCGAAUUCAUAUGAAAAUCAUGCAUUUAGUUUAAGUUAUCAAUAUGAUUGCAUGUAUGAUAGAUAUUAUUCCUAAUUCUAACUAUACACGUUAAUUUUGCCGCGUUCUAGACUCGUUGUGAGUAUUCCUACACUACAACAAGCAGCUAACUAUUUAAUUGAUGGCCAAAUAAUUCAAUAGUCCAAUGAAAAUGCAAAAUUAAUCAAGUAACACACGAAUUAAACUAAAUACUUGUCUUGAAUUAAAAUAAAUAAAUAAUAAGGUUCAUCUCAUCCAAUACAAUGAAAAACUAGCCUAACAUAUUAAUAUAUAAAUUACAAGAAGAAUAAUAGAAAAAUAUCAUCCUGAUCAUGAAAGAAUACAAAAGAUGUUGAUCUUCACGUCCAAAGUUGAAUUCUUCAAAACUUGAUGUAAUUGAACUUCAAUUCCUUGCUAUGGCUUGAUCUUCUCUCUCAAAAUAUAGCAAUUGACCCCUUGUUCUUGAUGGAUUUGAUGAAACUAUUGUAUAUGAAGAGGCUAGAGAGAGACCCUUUCAUUGCUGCCCAUAUCUUGUAUUUAUAUGAUGAAAUUAGGUCAAAAUUCACGUCCAAAUUGUCUUCCAAAAGAGUUUGAAUCAAAUAAGGAAAGUUGCCUUCGUGCGCACAUAAUUUUGUCUCUGCACAGCUUUCAGUAUUUUGAUCUUAAAUUUCUCUUUCGGCGUUUGAUUCAGGUGAUUCAAAGUGCAUUGGAAAGCUAAUUAACAAAUCUACAAUUAUUCUAGAAAUACAAUUUUUCCAAUUCAAACGUUCUCCAUCCGAAAAAUGGGUCUCAAGAUGACCAAAAAUCUUGAAAAAUUUCCUACAUGAUUGGAAGUCGAUUUAUGGUAAUAUUCUAAUAACAUCCCUUUCCUUUUUGACUCCACUUUGCAUUCAAUUGACUUCUAUCAAUUUUCAAAGUAUCUUUUGUAGUCCAAAUCAACUAUUAAAUAUUUAAACUUUGGUCCCCAUAUUUUGGAUUUGCUUCAUUUAACCAUUUUCCGUUCCUUUUUCCAAUUUUUCUUUGAAACAUGAACUUUUCCAAAUAAAAGCAAUAAUUAACAAAUCAGGUAUUAAUCUGUUCAAAGAAUAACUAAAUAUCAUCAUUUAAGAUCCUAAAUAAGUGUAGAAACUACACUUAUCACCUAUGUAAAGGAACUUACCUCAGUCUGUAAUUAGAACUACACCAAUGACUCUUGUCUUCCAAGUGAAUGGGUUGCUUUACAUAUUUUGAAUCUAUGUUCAUUCUAGAAUACGCAAACACGAUCAACUGCCAAUGAUAACUGCUUGUACAGUUGCUACUAAUGAUCUAUGGAACUUUUUGGUUACUGUUAUGAAAUGGUCUUCAAUUGUUCAUUAUUUAGUCUAUUUUUUAUUUUUCCUUGCUCCUUAAAUUGAGAUUUGAUAACUUUAAAUUGUUUGAUUGUCUUAUGCAUUUCAUUUCUAUCUUGAAUAACCUUUUUUCAGUACGAAAUUCACAACAUCUGCUGGUAAAAAUUGCAUAAAAAAUAGUUUCCAAACACCAGACUGCUAUACAUGGACCUAAUUUAACAUCAACUAAGUACAUAUAAUGUCGAUGUUCACUUUUUUAUUCUCAAAAGCAUUACAUGACUUUGAGCUUUAUAACAUAUUUCUCUUCGUCAUAUAAAAACCAGAUGAUAGAAAUAGUGAUUGUGUGAUAGAACUGAUUGUAAUGUAAUGAAGUUAAGUAUUGACAACUGUAGAUGGAAUUCAAUCAGUUGUAUGGUACACAUAGAAGUACUGCAACUAAGUUUGUUCAUAUUAAUUUUACAAGUUCAGGUAACAUCAAUAACUUCAAUUGUAAGAACAAUGGUGUAAAGAUGAGGCAAAAUGAAUAGUUAUAAUCACCAAAGUCCAAUAUUAGUAUUAAUGAAUAUUUCUCCCCCCUAUUUCCUGUGUACAUUUUUAUGUUAGGCUCACCUUUUAUUUUUAGAUCACAUAUAAAUCAAUUAUCAAAAUAACUUUAAUUCAUUCAUUCCUAUUUUUUAACUAAUCAACCAUUCGGCAUUUUUGUAAAAGUUGAAUGCUUGCCAAAGAAUCAUCUUUAACAAUUCUUCUAAAUGCUCCUUCCAUUCUUCUUUAUCUCAAUUUUUUUGCUCAUCAAUUAUGCUAUAGGUCUGAGAGGACUAACAAACAAUCUGUGGUAAAGUUAGCCUCAUUUCAAUUCGCAUCUAUUAAUUGAUUUUUGUUUCAAUAAAAACAUUCAUACAUUCAACAAACUCAAAUACAAAAUUUCACACCUUCAAGAGAAAACACAAAUCAAAAAAUGCUCAAAACAUGUGUUAGGUACUCAUUGCCUCAAUACUGUUGUUUCUAAAAACUCCUUUUCUCUCAUUGUCGGCAAUAUAUAAAUUCUUUUAUUUUACAAACAAAACCCCAAGAUUGGAUACUUCUAUGUAUUUAACCAGAUAAAAAUUUUUAAUAGUGUGUGUGUGUGUGUGUAUUCAUUUUUCACAACAAACACCCCAGCAAUAUCUUCAAAAGAACACAAGGGCAAAAAACUAGUUUAUAGGAAAAAUCACAAAAUUCAAUUGUUUCAAUUAAGGCUAAGUAAAUUCGAAUUUCAAUUAUUACAAUCUCUGUGGAUACGAUACUUGAACUCAAAAUUCAUUUUACUACUUGUUAACAAACUGUACACUUGUGGUAAUUUUUAUUAAACAAUAAUUUCAUCAACAACAACAUCACGAGUUGCGUUAGGCGUAAGAACACUCAAUUAGUCUCCUUCAAAUUUAUAGAUAAACACCUUGCUUUUUUAAAGUGCAUAAUAUUUAUGAUUUACUAUUGUAUUUCUCGUUUGUUACAUUCUAUAACUCAUCAUCCAUUCCUUUACUGAAAAUUUACUUCCCAUUUCUUUUAUUCUUUUUUUUUUGUCUUUAAUAUUUAAGCAAAUCAAACCCAAGGACAAGUCAACAAAUAAAUGUAAUACAAAACAGAAGUUUAAUCAUUCUCUAAUUAUGGGUGCAUGGAUCUUCGAAGAAUUUGCCUCGAUCGUGCACCUCAAAAAUGAAGCCAAGUUUGGUUAGAUCAUUUAGCUUGAUUAGAUGUGUUCUCUUUAUGAUAUAAUUUAUGUUAUAUUAAUAUGUCUCGACAUUUUGCAUUAUUUAUUUCCCAAUACACGGCAUAACAAAUUUAGACGUUAUUUUUUCUCAUAAAUGCCACUUAUGUACUCAUAGCGGGUCAGUAAAUAUUUAAUCUGAAAUUGGCAAAAUAGAUAAUUGUUAUAUGAUGUUUACAUUUGUGUAUUAAGAUUUAUCAUUCUCUGUAAGAUCAUGGUUAAGAAAAUCUAUAUUUUUUCUCUAUCAAAUUGUUCGAUUUGGAAGUUUGAUUGUGCCCCUAACUAAAAAUGUCUGCGCUUGUCACUAACAAUCUUCCAUUUUAUUAUUAUUAUUAUGGAUUUUCAGCUUUUAGUUUUAAAAAUUAAGUGAAAUGAGUUGUUUGACACUUGAGCCGAAUAUUCCAUGUAAAAGCAAACUUUGAGUAACUUUUAAGCUUAUCCAAACAUGCCGUAAAUGGCAGGGCCAGUAAAAAUCAGUAUAAAAUCAUAGAAUACCAAUAUCAUUUUUGCCCCGGAGUUGCAAAACAUGGGUCUCACUAAUUGGUGGGAAGAAGAUAAGUAGUCUUUCCUCCACUCCACUUGUUACUUUCUCUAGAAGAAGAAACAAUUUUUUUCUUAGAAGACUUGUUUUUGUUAAUGAGAAAUUAAUUACAACAAAAUUUAGUCUAGUGUUAGUGUGAGUGUGUGUGUGUGAGAGAGAGAGAGAGAGGGGGGGUGAGAAAAAGGAUAUUCCCCAAAGUAUUUUCAUAUCAAACUUUAAUUGGAAGAAAUAACUUCUUUAUAGUUGUAAACCAAAGGAUUAACUUCGUAGUCUUUACAACUCGGAAGAAACGCCAUUUGUUUUUAUUAGUUGAUGAUGUCUGAUAAGUGUGUUUUUGCACACUUAUUUAGAUCACUAAAAUGACUUAAUUACAAGCAAAAUGUUUAAAUUGUGGCUUAAUUUCAUUGAAUUCAUGCAAUGUAUGUGUUUCUUUGGAAAUGGUGGAAUUUAGGAGAAAAGAGCCAAAAAUGAAUCAAACUGAAAGCUUGGGGAUCAAGUUGCAAAUAAUCCAUAGAUGACACAGGAAAUGGAAUGAAGAUUCAAGAGUUUUAGACAAUCGGAUGAGGAAAGGAGUUGAGAGGUGAAAUAUGAUUGAAGUAUUAUCAAGUAUCAGUUUUCAGGCGAAAAAGCUAUGCUCCUGAUUUUUAGUCUCUACUUGAGAUCCAUUUUUGUCAUAGUAAACAUCAAAAUUUGAGGAAGCUUAUUUCAUUCAAAAGUGUAGAUCUUUGAGUUUUCUUCUCAAUUCACUUUGAAUCACUUCAAUCUGAGAUCAGAAGAAAAAUUUAUGACCAAAAUACUAAAAAUUGUCCUGCGAAAAGAAUAGCAUAACUAUGUGGUCGCAUAGUAUAAAUUCUAUGCGGUCGCAUAGAAGCCUCCCGAGGAUUUUUUCUCAAAAUUUUUUACUCUAUGCGACAACAUAGAAAUGUACUAUGUGGUCGCAUAGAACAAUUUCGGGCCGAUUCUGCAGUUUCCUUAUACAACUGAAACUCUUUUGGUGACCUAAUUUUCACGCGAUAUAACUACCAAAAGACGUCCAGAAAGAGGAGAACGUAUUGAAGGGGGGAAUAUACACAAUUUUGGAGGAUUUGGAGAGGAAGAACAAGGCAAAAACAAGGCAAUCCACUUCAAGAUUCAAGAUUUCACUUCAAGAAUCAAUUGGGUGAUGUUCUUCCUUGAUUUUAAUUAUUGUUUUUCUUUAUUUUCCAUUAUGUUAGGCUAGAUUUUCAUGUGCUAAGAUUUGCGAUGAACCUUAUAUUAUGAACUCUUAAUCUUGAAUUUUAUUUAUUUGACGUUAAAACAUGUUUUGAAUUAUUGAAUGAUUGGCAUGGAUUUUAUUUUCUCUACAAUUAUGUGCGCAAUAGUUGUAUAAGAUUUGUGGCUUGUUUUACCCUCGAGAGAUGGAAAAUAAGUUAGACAUUAUGUUAAUUGUCAUAAAGUUCGAUAGGGGAUAGAAAUAUACCGCUAUACUUUACGUGAUCUUUAAGUAUUCAUAAAUCUUUAAUGCAUUUUUAUAUGUUCGCAUCCGUCAUAGAAAUAUAGUCGGAUCGCAUGUGAAAAUAGGUUUAAUUUUACUCGAGAGAGAUUGUUAAACAAAUUAGGAAUAUUGGUCUUCAUAAUUGAAUCGUAUUGUCAAUUUUAUAAAAUUCGGAUUAAAGGGAAUUGAUAUAAGGGGAUUCGAGAUCCUAGUACGCAUUUCGUUAUCACAUUUUUAUAAAACUUGCAUUUAGUUAUAAUCACGCAUUUAAUCUAGUUAAUUUAGGCUUUAUAUUUAUAAGUAAGUUAUUAAAUCAUAAUUUAGUUAACGAAAAUAUCAAGAAUUUCUAUUAUUUCGGUUAAGGCGACGAUAGGUAAAAUUGAACUAAUCAAUCUCUGUGGGAUGAUAUUUGAACUUAUUUAAUCCACUUUAUUACUUGUUAACGAACCAUACACUUGCGGUAGUUUAAAAUCGAAAGAAAUAAUUUCGCGAACAAUGUCCACUCUUUGGACAAUUUUCCCCGUGAAGACAACUUUAAUUUAGAUGGUAUAAAGCUAAAGACGUUAAUGAUAUUCUGCGAUAUCGAUGAUAUUCAUACCAAUAUAAUAUAUGUUAAGGUUGAAUCGUUCCAUACUGAAAAUUUUCCUUUUUGCUUAAAAGAUAAUCGACCAUCAAUCUGUAGCUAAUUUCACGAGUUCCCAAUGUAACAUGUAUUUAUUCAUAAUUAACUUUUAGGAGAAUGUUUGGCAGGCCUGAUUCCUUGCUGGUUACACGUGAAGCUCUUUUUACAAUCAAUUGUGCUACAUGUACAAAAAUUUUGUACAGAUAGGUUAACUGAUGCAUGCUCAGUUCAAAAUCAUCUGUUCAAGUAUCAGUUGUUGGACCACUUAAAACAUUAGUAUCCUCAUACUGUUUCUUUGUUUUUCUUCAUAAAUUCAUGGAUUUAUUCAACUUUCUCACAAUUUUCUCCUAUGUAAUCCUAUUUACGAAAGCUCACGAACCUAAUAAUCCAUCGUCUAUUAUCGGUGGCCCUGUUUUUCUUGGAAUUUGGUACCCAUUCCGAAUCCAGGACGAGCAGCCAUGUAACUACGGUCGUCCUAGUUUCGAGCUAUUUUUCAAACAACAUAAAAUAUUUAUUCAUUUUCCACUUUAUGGUGAUCUAAUUGUCAAGUCCAUCUCUUGAGAUAUCAGAAAACUUGCCCUUAUUAAUCCCAAAAAUUGUGUCCAUGAAGUUUUCUUGAACCUGAAUCUUUCUCUUACUCCAUUCAAUUACUAUUACGUUUCGAAAGAGCACACACACAUCAACUAUUCAUCUCAGCUCUCAACUUCUUUCGUGCAAGUCCCGUGUCUCAGUGGAUCGAACCAUCGUGUUUACUUCAUAAAAUCAUCGUUUUCCCCUUCGAUUUCAUGCAAUUCAAUGAAAACUAUUGCAAUCCCGUUUUCAUAUAGUCCAUACCUGUCUGAUAAUUGUUUUGGACUCUCACUGACAUGGAACUUGAUUGGUGAUUGUGAUGAUCCUGGAAUAAGAUGCCAAUCUGAAACAAUGCCUAAUAAAGAAUUUUCGACUUUGCACAUUAUGAAGGUAAGAUCUCUUCUUAGCAUCCUCCUAGUUUCUAAUUCUAACUUAGUCCGUAAGAUCAGAAUACAGUAUCAGACAUAUUCUGAGUUCAAGUCUCGUUGUUACCUAUUUAUGAUAAAUUGUGCCUUUGUUUGUACAAGAAAUCAUGUUUGUGCAACCCUAGCAAGAGAAAUACUCGAAAAUAGAAAAGUUCCUUUAACUUACAACUUUUUCAUCUAUGAAAAUUUGGGGCUGAGGCUACUAAAGACUAGUAAAUCCUGAAUUAGGUUUACUAUUUGACGAACAAAUGAACCUCAUGGUCGGGCGUAUUCAUGAUAAGACUAAAAAAAUUUUGAGCUAGGCUAAUAUUUUUAAAAAAAAAAGCAUAUAACUUCUAUUUUUCCAUAUAAAAAAAAUCUAUACAAGAAAAUUUGAAAUAGGCUCAGGCCAGUCCCUAAAUCCGUCAUUGCUCAUAGUUGUUUAGUGUGAUAGAAUUCACCUUAUCAAAGAAGUCCAACAUGUACAAAUUUAUGUUUGUCAAUUAAAUCAUCAUUCCUAUCAUUAUUUGUGGUAGUACUUGAUGGAAAUUUGUUGUUCAAAACAAUAAACAUGUGUGGAAUGGAAUGGACGAAAUUGGAACAAAAAUGUAGACCGAUGGCAGCCUCGCAUGGGCCAUUUGGCCAUGCAACCAUACCGAAAUUACAGGGCCUUUGCUGGCAUGAACCAUACGACCGCAUGGCGCUAAACCAUGCAAUCGCGUGGUAGUUAAAUUCAACCAUUAGAUCAUUUUUUCGACGGUUUUUCGGUUGUUUUUUUGGUGGCUUUUCAUUUGUUUUGGCACCACUUCGUAUUGCCUCGUUCCAUGACUAUAUAUAUAGGUGGUCUUUGAUCAUAAGAAUUUAAUGAAAAAAACACUUGUGAUCAUGCCGUUAAUUUCACAAUAGAAGGAUAAAUGCUUCUUCUUCCAUAUUCAAUUUCCCUUGUGCUCUUCAAGUUCGGGUAGAGAAAUACUUGUGCUUUUGUGUUUUUCUACAUCGAGACUUGAUUAAUCCUACAAACCUCAUUUGCCAAUGUAAAGGAACUUACCUCAGUCUGUAAUUAGAACUACACCAAUGACUCUUGUCUUCCAAGUGAAUGGGUUGCUUUACAUAUUUUGAAUCUAUGUUUGUUCUAGAAUAUGCAAACACCAUCAAUUGCCAAUGAUAACUGCUUGUACAUUUGCUACUAAUGAUCUAUG